rnacentral:rRNA from 1 species
ACGCACGCUGGCGGCGUGCUUCACACAUGCAAGUCGAACGGAAAGGCCCCUUUGGGGGUACUCGAGUGGCGAACGGGUGAGUAACACGUGAGUAACCUGCCCUUGACUUCGGGAUAACUUCAGGAACCUGGGGCUAAUACCGGAUAGGAAUCCUUGCUGCAUGGUGGGGGUUGGAAAGCUUCGGCGGUUUUGGAUGGACUCGCGGCUUAUCAGCUUGUUGGUGGGGUAGUGGCUUACCAAGGCUUUGACGGGUAGCCGGCCUGAGAGGGCGACCGGCCACAUUGGGACUGAGAUACGGCCCAGACUCCUACGGGAGGCAGCAGUGGGGAAUAUUGCACAAUGGGCGGAAGCCUGAUGCAGCAACGCCGCGUGCGGGAUGACGGCCUUCGGGUUGUAAACCGCUUUCAGCAGGGGCGAAGCUUGUGGUGACGGUACCUGCAGAAGAAGCACCGGCUAACUACGUG